rnacentral:rRNA from 1 species
UACGUAGGUGGCAAGCGUUGUCCGGAAUUAUUGGGCGUAAAGCGCGCGCAGGCGGUUCUUUAAGUCUGAUGUGAAAGCCCACGGCUCAACCGUGGAGGGGCAUUGGAAACUGGGGAACUUGAGUACAGAAGAGGAAAGCGGAAUUCCACGUGUAGCGGUGAAAUGCGUAGAGAUGUGGAGGAACACCAGUGGCGAAGGCGGCUUUCUGGUCUGUAACUGACGCUGAGGCGCGAAAGCGUGGGGAGCAAACAGG